rnacentral:rRNA from 1 species
AGAGUUUGAUCCUGGCUCAGAUUGAACGCUGGCGGCAUGCCUUACACAUGCAAGUCGAACGGCAUCUUGAUCUCUCUUGCUACAUUGAUGGCGAGUGGCGAACGGGUGACCCAUACAUCCGAACGUGCCCUGGAGUGGGGGAUAACUAGUCGAAAGAUUACCUAAUACCGCAUACUACCUGAGGGUGAAAGUGGGGGACCGCAAGGCCUCAUGCUAUAGGAGCGGCCGAUGUCUGAUUAGCUUCCUGGUGGGGUAAAGGCCCACCAAGGCGACGAUCAAUAACUGGUUUGAGAGGACGAUCAGCCACACUGGGACUGAAACACGGCCCAGACUCCUACCGGAGGCCUGAUCGGGGAAUUUUGGAUGAUGGGGGCAACCCUGAUCCAUCAAUGCCUCGUGUGUGAAGAAGGCCUUCGGGUUGUAAAGCACUUUUGUCUCGAAAGAAAUCCCACUUACCAAUCUUAGGUGUGGAUGACGGUCCCGGAAUAAUAAGGACCGGCUAACUACGUGCCAGCAGCCGCGGCAAUACGUAGGGUCCAAGCGUUAAUCGGAAUUACUGGGCGUAAAGCGUGCGCGGUCGGUUGUGCAAGACCGAUGUGAAAUCCUCGGGCUCCACCUGUGAAUUUGAUUGUCGACUGCACGGCUAGAGUGUGUCAUAGGGGGGUAGACUUCUCGUGUAGCAUUGAAAUGCGUACAGAUGUGGAGGAAUACCGAUGGNNAUCGAUGCCCCUCUGGGAUAACACUGACUUUCAUGCACCUACCGUGGGGAGCAUACAGGAUUAGAUACCCUG